ensembl:lncRNA
GAGAGAAGGCAAGAUGAUGAUGAUGUAUUCUCACCUGAUGGACCCUGCUGAGACAGUGAUUUUGGCCACGAGGGAGACAUUGCAGAGCUCUUCCUCAUGAAUGUGAAAUUGGGCUGCUGUUUGUGGGUCCAGGUGGAUGUUAAGGUGCCCACAGCAUCUGUCUUUGUGGCCAAAACAUUGCUGUGAAUUUUCUCAGGCCCCUGUUUGGAGCCAGCAUCCUGCAGCUGCUGGCCUCAGCUUCCUCUCUGAACAUACCCACCAGUUAGCAGAAAGCCGAAGGUGCUGGGAGGCUAAGGAGUGAAGCAAGUGAGCAACCAGUCUUAAUGACAGAGAUAUUGCGUCAGACGUCUUUUGAGGGAGUUGAUUCAGUUAUACAAAUCUAAGAUGCUACUAGUCACUUGACACUUCUCUGGCCUUUAUACAUAAAAUGGGACUCAGAGCAGGGAAAUUACUGGCUUGCAUGAGCACACAUCAGCAACCCAUUUCCUCUGCUAGCUGGAAAGCACUACAAGAUGGUCCUCCUAAAGUGUGAGCUGAAGUGAAAGUGGCUCAGCGGCAGGCUGCCAUUGCUUCCUUCUUCUAGAGAGUGUGUAACCAGAGCUUCACAGCCUUUGGAGAUGGAUGGUCCUGUUAAUAAGAAGGACACGAGCGUUUCAGAACAUGUUGAUGUGCUGACGAUGCCCGCCUCUCCCCAAGGUGGCUGUGGACAUUUCCUCUGCUGUGUGACCGCCAGCUCCUCCAGCUGCACCGGGCCGGGGCUUUGCCAGGAUCCGGCCUCUGUUGGCAGGAAAGAGAAGAGCAUCUCUCAUCUGUGCAGGCUGGUUCAAAUUGUUCUCUCUUCGCCCCACUUUGCUCUUUGCUGCACAGGUGUCCUGUGCUCAGACUGUGAAGGAAAAAGCAUUUUGUUUUCCUUCUUGCUUUAAUUUGCACUUUGUGUGUGCACCUGCUUGCACAAAACUUGAGACAGGCCCAUUUGCUCUCUCUGUUCAAGUGGGAGAUCCAAGCAAUGUCACACGCGGGCAUCUGUUGCUCAGAGGAAAUGGUGGUGUCAACUUGUCACGCUUCGCUCCUGCAUCCUGUGUAGUGGAGCAGCAGCCCACGCACAGCUGGAAUUCCUUCCUGCCAACAAAAAGCUGCAGUCAGUAGGUGAAAUCCACACAGCGCAUCAUUUGGAUCUUUGAAAUCAGACUCUUGGGCGACUCGAGUGCUGUGUGACCUUUUUUCAUGAGGCUGCCAGACAGAGGUGCAUUUCUCUUUUGUGAAAACAAAGAGUCAUCUGCCUUCAAAGGAUUCAUUGUCAAAAUGCUUUCCAUCUGUGCAGUAUUUUGCUUGUUAUUUGCCUUUGUCUUCUGUUCCCGAGGGGUUAAUUAAGACAUGUAUCCUUCCUGGGCUAUUUCUUGACUGCAGAGGGGCUGAAAACACAGAUUUGUUUUUAUCUAUGACAAUGUAGUCAGAUGUCCUGAAUCACUGCUGUUGGAGCUGGAUGCAGCUUGGCAGACCAGCCAAUAUAUCUCCCUCCGAAUGCAAGGUUCUUCCUUGAAGGACACUCCUUGUGUUUUAAUCAAUAUGAUAUACAGGAGGUUCGAUUACUUCCCUUGCUACCUCCCGUUUCUCUGCUGUUCACAAAUCCUAGAGAUAGCUGGAAACCUUGAGAAUUGUGUGCUGUGUUUAUGGUUUUGAUACUCUGAGGUCUAAUUCUACUUGCAGUUAUUGCAUAUCAAGGCAUGCACAUGCGGAUUUGUUUUGAGGCUUGCUUUUAGACUCUGCCCAGGCUGGGUUGCUUUGCCACAGCAUGGCUGCCAAUGAGCAAAGGAUUAUAUCCUCUGAGUUUUAUCUCAAACAGUGAAGUUUGACAUUUCCUGAUUCCACAGAAACUCAUAUCAAAGUGUUAUCUUACUGCUUAUGGAGGUACUGGGCCAGCAUCUGAAUCACCUGAGUGCAAAGGCAUGUGCCAGGUGUUGUAUUCGAUCU